rnacentral:rRNA from 1 species
UACAGAGGGUGCAAGCGUUAAUCGGAAUUACUGGGCGUAAAGCGUGCGUAGACGGUCAUGUAAGUCGGGUGUGAAAGCCCCGGGCUCAACCUGGGAAUUGCAUUCGAGACUGCAUGGCUAGGGUGCGGAAGAGGGAAGCGGAAUUUCCGGUGUAGCGGUGAAAUGCGUAGAUAUCGGAAGGAACACCAGUGGCGAAAAGCGGCUUCCUGGUCCCAGCACCGACGUCAGGCACGAAAGCGUGGGGAGCAAACAGGA